CUACAGGCUUAACACAUGCAAGUCGAGGGGCAGCAUGGUCUUAGCUUGCUAAGGCCGAUGGCGACCGGCGCACGGGUGAGUAACACGUAUCCAACCUGCCGUCUACUCUUGGACAGCCUUCUGAAAGGAAGAUUAAUACAAGAUGGCAUCAUGAGUCCGCAUGUUCACAUGAUUAAAGGUAUUCCGGUAGACGAUGGGGAUGCGUUCCAUUAGAUAGUAGGCGGGGUAACGGCCCACCUAGUCUUCGAUGGAUAGGGGUUCUGAGAGGAAUGUCCCCCACAUUGGAACUGAGACACGGUCCAAACUCCUACGGGAGGCAGCAGUGAGGAAUAUUGGUCAAUGGGCGCAGGCCUGAACCAGCCAAGUAGCGUGAAGGAUGACUGCCCUAUGGGUUGUAAACUUCUUUUAUAAAGGAAUAAAGUCGGGUAUGGAUACCCGUUUGCAUGUACUUUAUGAAUAAGGAUCGGCUAACUCCGUGCCAGCAGCCGCGGUAAUACGGAGGAUCCGAGCGUUAUCCGGAUUUAUUGGGUUUAAAGGGAGCGUAGAUGGAUGUUUAAGUCAGUUGUGAAAGUUUGCGGCUCAACCGUAAAAUUGCAGUUGAUACUGGAUAUCUUGAGUGCAGUUGAGGCAGGCGGAAUUCGUGGUGUAGCGGUGAAAUGCUUAGAUAUCACGAAGAACUCCGAUUGCGAAGGCAGCCUGCUAAGCUGCAACUGACACUGAGGCUCGAAAGUGUGGGUAUCAAACAGGAUUAGAUACCCUGGUAGUCCACACGGUAAACGAUGAAUACUCGCUGUUUGCGAUAUACGGCAAGCGGCCAAGCGAAAGCGUUAAGUAUUCCACCUGGGGAGUACGCCGGCAACGGUGAAACUCAAAGGAAUUGACGGGGGCCCGCACAAGCGGAGGAACAUGUGGUUUAAUUCGAUGAUACGCGAGGAACCUUACCCGGGCUUAAAUUGCAGAUGAAUUACGGUGAAAGCCGUAAGCCGCAAGGCAUCUGUGAAGGCGCUGCAUGGUUGUCGUCAGCUCGUGCCGUGAGGUGUCGGCUUAAGUGCCAUAACGAGCGCAACCCUUGUUGUCAGUUACUAACAGGUUCCGCUGAGGACUCUGACAAGACUGCCAUCGUAAGAUGUGAGGAAGGUGGGGAUGACGUCAAAUCAGCACGGCCCUUACGUCCGGGGCUACACACGUGUUACAAUGGGGGGUACAGAGGGCCGCUACCACGCGAGUGGAUGCCAAUCCCAAAAACCUCUCUCAGUUCGGACUGGAGUCUGCAACCCGACUCCACGAAGCUGGAUUCGCUAGUAAUCGCGCAUCAGCCACGGCGCGGUGAAUACGUUCCCGGGCCUUGUACACACCGCCCGUCAAGCCAUGGGAGCCGGGGGUACCUGAAGUGCGUAACCGCGAGGAGCGCCCUAGGGUAAAACUGGUGAC
rnacentral:rRNA from 1 species